UACGGAGGGAGCUAGCGUUGUUCGGAAUUACUGGGCGUAAAGCGCACGUAGGCGGCGAUUCAAGUCAGAGGUGAAAGCCCGGGGCUCAACCCCGGAACUGCCUUUGAAACUAGAUUGCUAGAAUCCUGGAGAGGCGAGUGGAAUUCCGAGUGUAGAGGUGAAAUUCGUAGAUAUUCGGAGGAACACCAGAAGCGAAGGCGGCCAACUGGCCCGAUACUGACGCUGAGGCGCGAAAGCGUGGGGAGCAAACAGG
rnacentral:rRNA from 1 species